AAUCUUCCACAAUGGGCGAAAGCCUGAUGGAGCAACGCCGCGUGAGGGAAGAAGGUUUUCGGAUCGUAACACUCUGUUGUAAGGGAAGAACAAGUACAGUAGUAACUGGCUGUACCUUGACCGGACCUUAUUAGAAAGCCACGGCUAACUACGUGCCAGCAGCCGCGGUAAUACGUAGGUGGCAAGAGUUGGCCGGAAUUAUUGGGCGUAAAGCGAGCGCAGGCGGUCAUUUAAGUCUGAUGGGAAAGCCCACGGCUCAACCGUGGAGGGUCAUUGGAAACUGGGGGACUUGAGUGCAGAAGAGGAAAGUGGAAUUCCAAGUGUAGCGGUGAAAUGCGUAGAGAUUUGGAGGAACACCAGUGGCGAAGGCGACUUUCUGGUCUGUAACUGACGCUGAGGCGCGAAAGCGUGGGGAUCAAACA
rnacentral:rRNA from 1 species